UACUCGAUAACCAAAUGUUAGGGCAUAAUGUAGAUAUUCAGAUAAAAGUGUUUGCAAAGUAAAUUAAAUUGUUGUAGAUGUUGUUGUACAACAAGAGAUGUCGCUACUUUAUUAAUUUACUUUGAGUGUUUGUUUACAUAUCUUUAAUGGAUUCCUGUUUAUUGUGUUGAGACUUAAAUAAAAACUUGGAGGAUUCCAUAGAAACAAACUCCAUACAUUGACAAGUGCUCAAUAUAGGACAAAAGUCCUAGAAAAACACUUUUGGCCAAUUAAAACCAUGUACCGCUGCUCUUGAAUACAGAAUCUCAUGUAGAAAUGGCUGGGAAAUAGGUUGCAUAGGUUGCGUAAGAUUCUCUUACGUUUCUUUCCUUAGCGAAUCAACCUGCUUUCGAUUCUCUGGACUAUUCAUGUUCUUUUUGUUUCUCUAUCAUUGCUACAUUACCUUCAACAAAAGGAAAUCACAAUGGAACUUAUGGUCUCUGAGUGGAGUUUUUCCUCUUAACCUAAAUUCAUGAAAUUCUUUCGAAUAUAAAUUUUAAAAAUCUCGUAAUGUAAAUACACUUUAUUUCUACAAUAAUUUA